rnacentral:rRNA from 1 species
CCGCCGCGGUAAUACCCGCAGCUCGAGUGGUGGUCAUUAUUAUUGGGCCUAAAGCGUCCGUAGCUGGUUUGGUAAAUGCCUGGGUAAAUCGAUGCGCUCAACGCAUCGAAUUCCGGGUAGACUGCCCGACUAGGGACCGGGAGAGGCGUGAGCUACUCCGGGGGUAGGGGUAAAAUCCUGUAAUCCUUCGGGGACGACCAGUGGCGAAGGCGCCUCGCUAGAACGGCUCCGACGGUGAGGGACGAAGCCCUGGGGCGCAAACCGGAUUAGAUACCCGGGUAGUCCAGGGUGUAACGCUGCGACUUGGUGUCGGUGAUCCUACGAGGGUGCCGGUGCCGUAGAGAGUUGUUAGUCUGCGCCUGGGGAGUACGGUCGCAGACUGAACUUAAGGAUUGGCGGGGA